rnacentral:rRNA from 2 species
AAUUAUUAAAGGGCCGCGGUAUUUUGACUGUGCAAAGGUAGCAUAAUCAUUUGUCUCUUAAUUGGAGGCUGGAAUGAAUGGUUGAAUGAAAUAUUAACUGUCUCAUUUUUAAAAUUUUAAAAACUUAGCUUUUAAGUCAAAAGGCUUAAAUGAAUUUAGAGGACGAGAAGACCCUAUAGAUCUUUAUAAUUUAUUUAAUUUUAUAAAAUAGAAAAAUAAUUAAUAAAAUUAAUAUAAUUAUUUUAUUGGGGUGAUAGGAAAAUUUAAUAAACUUUUUUUAUUUAUUAACAUUGAUUUAUGAUUAAUUGAUCCAUUUUUAGUGAUUAUAAGAUUAAGUUACCUUAGGGAUAACAGCGUAAUUUUUUUAG